GGAUGAACGCUAGCGGCAGGCCUAACACAUGCAAGUCGAGGGGUAGAGUAAGCUUGCUUACUUGAGACCGGCGCACGGGUGCGUAACGCGUAUGCAAUCUACCUUAUACUAAGGGAUAGCCCAGAGAAAUUUGGAUUAAUACCUUAUAGUUAAUUUASUUGGCAUCAAUUGAAUUAUAAAGAUUUAUUGGUAUAAGAUGAGCAUGCGUCCCAUUAGUUAGUUGGUAAGGUAACGGCUUACCAAGACGAUGAUGGGUAGGGGUCCUGAGAGGGAGAUCCCCCACACUGGUACUGAGACACGGACCAGACUCCUACGGGAGGCAGCAGUGAGGAAUAUUGGACAAUGGGCGCAAGCCUGAUCCAGCCAUGCCGCGUGCAGGAUGAAGCAUCUAUGGUGUGUAAACUGCUUUUGUACGGGAAGAAAAAACRYUACGAGUARUGUACUGACGGUACCGUAAGAAUAAGGAUCGGCUAACUCC
rnacentral:rRNA from 1 species